rnacentral:rRNA from 1 species
UUCUGGCUCAGGAUGAACGCUGGCGGCGUGCAUAAUACAUGCAAGUCGAACGAGGGCUUCUUGUAGCAAUACGGGAAGUUCCUAGUGGCGAAUGGGUGAGUAACACGUGGGUGACCUGCCUCGAAGAGUGGGAUAACAGUUCGAAAGGACUGCUAAUACCACGUACGCUCAUCGGGAUUAGAUGCCCGAUGAUGAAAGUCGCAAGACGCUUCGAGAGGGGCCUGCGGCCCAUCAGGUAGUUGGUGAGGUAAUGGCCUACCAAGCCGAUGACGGGUAGGAGACCUUAGAGGGUGGUCUCCCACACUGGCACUGAAACACGGGCCAGACACCUACGGGUGGCAGCAGUAGGGAAUAUUGCACAAUGGGCGAAAGCCUGAUGCAAGCAACGCCGCGUGCGCGAUGAAGGCCUUCGGGUCGUAAAGCGCUUUUCGGGAGGAUGAGGAAGGACAGUACUCCCGGAAUAAGUCACGGCUAACUACGUGCCAGCAGCUGC